GCCUGACUGGUUCAGUCAGAAGAGCAUGAGACUCUUGAUCUCAGGGUCAUGAGUUAGAGACCCAUCUUGGGCA
rnacentral:tRNA from 1 species